UACGUAGGGAGCAAGCGUUGUCCGGAAUCAUUGGGCGUAAAGCGCGCGUAGGUGGCCCCAUAAGUCCGCUGUGAAAGUCAAAGGCUCAACCUUUGAAAGCCGGUGGAUACUGUGGGACUAGAGUACGGAAGAGGCGAGUGGAAUUCCUGGUGUAGCGGUGGAAUGCGCAGAUAUCAGGAGGAACACCGAUGGCGAAGGCAGGUCUCUGGGCCAUAACUGACGCUGAGAAGCGAAAGCAUGGGGAGCGAACAGG
rnacentral:rRNA from 1 species